ACGGCGAGUGAACCGGGAUGAGCUCAAAUUUAAAAUCUGGCGUCUUUCAGGCGUCCGAGUUGUAAUCUAUAGAGGCGUUUUCCGCGCCGGACCGCGUCCAAGUCCCUUGGAAUAGGGUAUCAAAGAGGGUGACAAUCCCGUACUUGACGCGACAACCGGUGCUCUGUGAUACGUUCUCAACGAGUCGAGUUGUUUGGGAAUGCAGCUCUAAACGGGUGGUAAAUUCCAUCUAAGGCUAAAUAUUGGCGAGAGACCGAUAGCGAACAAGUACCGUGAGGGAAAGAUGAAAAGCACUUUGGAAAGAGAGUUAAACAGCACGUGAAAUUGUUAAAAGGGAAACGAUUGAAGUCAGUCGUGUGGGAGGUAUUCAGCCGUCUCUGACGGUGUAUUUGCCUCUCACGGGUCAACAUCAGUUUGAUCCGGUGGAAAAAGGCGGGAGGAAGGUGGCACCCUCGGGUGUGUUAUAGCCUCCUGUCAUAUGCAUCGGGUCAGACUGAGGAACGCAGCUCGCAGCAAUGCCGGGGUUCGCCCACGUACGAGCUUAGGAUGUUGACAUAAUGGCUUUAAACGACCCGUCUUGAACCA
rnacentral:rRNA from 1 species